rnacentral:rRNA from 1 species
AGAGUUUGAUCAUGGCUCAGAACGAACGCUUGCGGCGCGCCUAAUACAUGCAAGUCGAACGACGUAGCAAUACGGAGUGGCGCACGGGUGAGUAACACGUGGAUAAUCUGCCUUCUACUGGGGAAUAACUAACCGAAAGGUUAGCUAACACCGCAUGAGACCACAGUGCCUGCGGGCACAGAGGUUAAAAAUUUAUUGGU